rnacentral:rRNA from 1 species
UACGUAAGGGGCAAGCGUUGUCCGGAAUCACUGGGCGUAAAGCGCACGUAGGCGGUUUGCCAAGUUGGGGGUGUAAGCUCUAGGCCUAACCUAGAAAUUGCCUCCAAAACUAGCAUACUUGAGUAUUAGAGGGGAAGCUGGAAUUCACGGUGUAGCGGUGAAAUGCGUAGAUAUCGUGGAGAACACUCGUGGCGAAGGCGGGCUUCUGGCUAAUUACUGACGCUGAGGUGCGAAAGCUAGGGGAGCGAACGGU